UGGAAGAAUUUAUCCUUGUCUUAUUUAGAAAGGAUUUCUCUCAGAAGAAAAUAGAGGGCUCUUUCUUUAACUUUAUUGUUUAAUACACUCACUCAUGCAUGCAAGCAUUGAUUCAUCCAGUAAAUGUUAUUUCUGCAUACCUACUUUAUGCCAGCCUAUGAGAGUAAACUCCAUUCUAUAUCCUUACUUAGCUCACAAAGAAGCAAGGGACACAUUCAUCAAACACUAACUUCAUGACAACAUGACAAAUUAGGUAGUGGACAAGAGUGCUCAGUGUCAGGGGUGGGCAUGCUGAGGAGGGAGUGACGAGCUCUGCCUGCCUACCAGAAGAGAUGGUAUUUGAACCAGGCCUUCAGGAAUGCUGUGCACUUCUAGAACUUGGCAGAGGGUGAGGGGCUGCAGCCUAGGAGAGGGAACAAAGCAGGAAAGCACACAGCAUGUGUGGGGAGCGACAGGUGGUAUGAAGUGACGGUAGUUGAACUCAAGGUUGCAAAAGCCAAGAGUAGGCAGGUUGUGAGGAGCAUAAGGGCUGGGUCUGUCCUGGGGAUUUGCCUACUUCUUUCUUGACCUUCAGAAUAUUUUUAAAUUCUAAGUAUAAAUACGGAGAUUAGAAAGUCUUCUGCAAUGUUGGAUUGGAAAAUAUGAGAAACAAUCAGGAUACAUUUUGGUGGUGGUGGCCAAAAUAAUGACGACCUCCUCCUCCUCCUCCUCCUUCUCCUCUUCCUCCUCCUCUUCCUCCUCCUCCUCUUCUUCCUCUUCUUCCUCCUCCUCCUUCUCUUUCCUCCUCUUCUUCUUCCCCUACUCCUUCUUCUUCUCCCCUUACUCCUUCUUCUCCUCCUCAAUUAUCUUCCUCCUCCUUGUCCUCCUUCUCCUGUUAUAAAAUAGUAGGAAUGCAUGAUUUUGCUAUAAUUUUGCAAACAAUAGUGCAUAGAAUGCCUGGACAUGGGGAAAUUUGGGUGCCACUCUGUACUAGUUUUCUAUUCAGAAACAAGAUGCAGUUAUCUCAUACACAUAAAAUGUUAAUGAGCUGAGGCUCUGUGCCCACUGUGAACUACCCAUGGCCUGGAUCUGCUGUGGAGAACUCUGGAGAUUGCUGGGUAGAAUGUCAGAAUUCAAGUGACCUCAAAGCCCUAUUGUGACCAAAUGGCUCUUGGUAUGAAUAGGGAUGUUCACACUCAGGCCUGUGACCACAGAAAAAGUAGCCAGCCCACCAUCCCUAGAUGAUUUUGCAGUCUUUGCACACCAGUGUGGCCAUAGGCUUGUUUUCUCCUGGACUGAGCCUGCAGAUCCUAUGAGCAAGCAUAUGUCCUGUGCUCCACUAGUCCUAGCUGGAUCGUGGACAUAUUACCAUCAUUACAAAUAUCAAUAGUUUGUGAUUACUUCAAACAAUCUGAAGUUGAAGGACCCCAGAUAUCCUUCAAAACAGGAAUCUGCAGGCAGAUGCUGAAACCAUGAAUACAGAGGGACAACUAUGCUCCGGCCCUGAACGCAGGAGAGUUGCUAAAGAAGUUGCUCACAGAGGCGGGAGAGAGCAGGCUACUGGUUUCCUUCAAAAUGGAAUAGGAAACAGAAAACGUGCAUCAUUUCUUCGCACUUGAAUCAGCAACAUGACACAGGACUUUGGCAUCAGACUACUAUCACACCAAAAAAAGAGGCUUCACUUGGAGUGCUGCCACUGGAUGGGGCCUGACUUGUUUAUCCGGAAAGAAGUGACUUCCCUGGGAAGAAGGUUGCAUUUGUGAAAGCUUGUGCAGCAUUUCAAGGCUGCAUUCAGGUACAGGUCUUUGAAGAGUUUGCAUUGCUCUGUGAGUUACCAGAGGACUGCCAUCUUUAAUCCAAUUCAGACAGCAAUUCACCAGGCUUUGCAUGUGCUCAGGCCUGUUGCUCCUUAUCAGAGGCCCACAUGGAGCUCUCAGUACAGCUGCAGCCCUGGAGAAUUUCCCUGUCUCCUCCUGUUCUCUCUCUCUCCUCCUCCUCCCGCUUCUCUUCCCUGCCUCUCCCCCACCCCUAUACAAACACACACAUACACACACAGACACACAGACACACACACACACACACACACACUACUCCUUGACUCUUUAAUUUUCCUUUUAAGGCAUCAAAAUCAAUUUUGGGACUCUAUUUGGUACAAAGAGUUGAUAUGGAUUUGAUACGGAUAGAGUUGACUGAUCUCUACUCUGGGUUUGAAGAUGUUGCUGCAAAUGGAAAGGAAAUAAUCCCGGGCUAUUGUGACAGAUGACAUGGUGUAGAGGGAAGAGCGCAGGACUGAAGGUGGAGAAUCACUUGUUUAUGCAACACAUAUUUCCUGAACAUCAAAUACAAGGAUAAAGCCAUGAAGGAAACAGAGCCCUGUUUCUGCAGAACACACGUUCUGGUUGGAGAAGACAAGUAGCGAAUACACCAACAAAUAAGAGAAUAUUUGACGAUGUUGAGUGUUUUAUGAAGGGGAUAAAGAGUGACUGCAGGGCUCAGAAGGAAGCGAUUAUUUUAAGUAGGGAAGGUCUUUUGUAAGAAGGUGCUAUUUAAAUUGAGACUUUAAAGGUGUGCAACUUUGGAUAAAUUGGAAACAAGAAGGGAAGUGCAUUCUGUGGGAUCUAGUAAGAGCAGAGAGUGAUGACCAACUCCAGACCCCAAAGAGAAAGGAGAGUGAGGCUAUUGGCACUUGGAGGCAGAGAAAGCCAUGUGUAGAGGGCGGCCCGACUGAGCUAAAACCUUCAGUCUGUUGGUCUUGAGCUAUUUGAGGGUCUAUUAUGUGCAGGAUUAGUCUCGGCACUAUCGAGGAUCACAAAAGCCUGUUAGUUAUGGAGUCUUCCAGCAAUAGGCUUACAGUCAAGAAUGGGAAACAACACAUAUGCACGUAAUUUGAUUGAAAUGUAGGAAGUCUUAAGGAUGAUAGGAGGAGUUCAGAUAAAGACUAGAAAGUUCUCAGGUGCCAGAUUGCUUCCAGCCAACAGAUCAGAGGAACUGCCAUAGAGGAGGUGGCUGUGUGUGCCCUGGACCUCAAAGGAGAGAGAUGAUAUUCAGACGUGUAGCAGUGAUGGGCAGAAGCACAUUUUAAGUGGAGGGAAUGAAACAGGAUAAGCAAGACUGGUGAUUGAAAAACUCUGUUUGUCUGUGCAGAAAAGAGAAAUCUUAGUUUGACUGGAGCCUCUGGCACAUGAAAGGGAUUUAGAGUUUGCCGUUUCUGUGAACCUGUCCAUCUUCACCCUCAUGCUGUUCUCCUUUCCUCUUUUAACCUGUAUCUUCUCUCUCUUUGUUUUGUUGACUUUCUCUUUUUUGUUUUCUGUUGUCCUUUUUUAUGAGUGGAGCAUUUCAGUGCAAGAGCAAAUGGGAGUGGAGUGGGGUUCUGUGGAAUGUCAGAAAUGCAUGCUCAACCUAGAUUUCCCAAGCUCUCACUCAGUCUUAUCCCAGGGAUCACUUGACAUGAUGGGAAAUGAUGGGAAAAAAAUAAACAAUGUGAUCCCAGAGCAAAGCUUAUUUACUUUAUCCGUUUAACCCAGUUCUACUGCUUCUCUCGCCAUUUCCCAAGAACCAGGGGCAGAAAACAUGAGAAAGCAGAAGGGAGACAGAUUUUAG
rnacentral:lncRNA from 1 species